GUGAGGAAUAUUGGUCAAUGGGCGAGAGCCUGAACCAGCCAAGUCGCGUGAAGGAAGAAGGAUCUAUGGUUCGUAAACUUCUUUUGCAGGGGAAUAAAGUGCAGGACGUGUCCUGUUUUGUAUGUACCCUGAGAAUAAGGAUCGGCUAACUCCGUGCCAGCAGCCGCGGUAAUACGGAGGAUCCGAGCGUUAUCCGGAUUUAUUGGGUUUAAAGGGUGCGUAGGUGGUUUGAUAAGUCAGCGGUGAAAGUUUGCAGCUUAACUGUAAAAAUGCCGUUGAAACUGUCGGACUUGAGUGUAAAUGAGGUAGGCGGAAUGCGUGGUGUAGCGGUGAAAUGCAUAGAUAUCACGCAGAACUCCGAUUGCGAAGGCAGCUUACUAAGCUACAACUGACACUGAAGCACGAAAGCGUGGGGAUCAAACAGGAUUAGAAACCCGGGUAGUCCC
rnacentral:rRNA from 1 species